GGUCCCGCCUGCCCUGUGACCACGAGUUUAACGGCCGCGGUAUUUUGACCGUGCAAAGGUAGCGCAAUCACUUGUCUUUUAAAUAAAGACCUGUAUGAAUGGCAUAACGAGGGCUAAACUGUCUCCUUACCUAGGUUAAUGAAAUUGAUCUUCCCGUGCAGAAGCGAGAAUUAACUCAUAAGACGAGAAGACCCUGUGGAGCUUUAGAUAAAUAAAUGAACUAAUCAAAUAAUUAAACCCUGUAAAAGGUGACAAACCAACACCCUCAUUUUAAUAUCUUUAGUUGGGGCGACUGCGGAGUAAAACAAAACCUCCAUGAGGAUUGAGGUAAAACCUUUCACCUAAGAAUGUCAAUUCUAAGCACCAAAAUUUUUGACCUAAAGAUCCGGUAAUAACCGAUCAACGAACCUAGUUACCCCAGGGAUAACAGCGCAAUCCUCUUCAAGAGCCCUUAUCGACAAGAGGGUUUACGACCUCGAUGUUGGAUCAGGACAUCCCAAUGGUGUAGCUGCUAUUAAAGGUUCGUUUGUUCAACGAUUAAAGUCCUACGUGAUCUGAGUU
rnacentral:rRNA from 1 species